rnacentral:lncRNA from 1 species
GCUGCUUCAUUAAGAGAUUCAAACGGUGCUUAAAGCAAGAUCAUUUAUUUCUUUUCACAUGAUGAUCCAAGAACAGUCCAGAGUUGAUGUUGCUGCUCAGUGGAGUCAGGCCCAGACUCCUGAUAGCAUUUGUUCUGCCAAUCUGAGGGCAAUGCCCUUGUCUGAAUGGUGGAGUGUAUUUGCCUUCCAGCUCAUGGGAAAAAGGAAAGAGUGAAGAAAACAUCCUUCUUUCCUCUUCUUUUUAUUUUAGACAGUGUUAAGUUGCCCAGGGUAUCCUCAAACUUGGUAUCCUUCAGCCUCAAUUUUCCAAGUAACUGAGGUCAUAGGCUUUUACUACCAUGUUGGCCUCAUCCCUUCAAGAGUAUGGUCCAGAAGUUGCAUACUUCACUUCUGCUCACAUCCCAUUGGCAAGAACCUCGUCAUACUCUGAGUGCCUUUGAUAGGUUUCACACACUCAGCUAAAUCUCCUCCCAGUAAAGCAGAAAAGACUUUUGGGGUGGGGGCGGAUAAUGCCAAGGUUGCCUAGGCCUUGGCUUGUCUCCUAAACAGCCACUAAAACCUUACUAUUGGUGGCCACCAGUCUAGGUACGCUGCC